CACCCAGGCGGAGCAGCGACCCGGUCUCCUGCAGCGCAGGGCGCCGCCCGCGUGCGUGGUCCUGUCCCCAUCGCGGCCGACCGCACACGCCGGGCCUGGUUCUGCAGAUCAGGAGUUGGAGCCCUGUACCUUCCUUUCCUCUGAGCCCUGUCUCCUUCGGCAGGCGGGAGCUCCAUAGAACUCGGUUGCUCUGCUGUUUGCUUUGGAGAGGACACAGCGGACAAUGAGGUAUGUUCAAAGGAUCUGUGUUUCCCAGCCUUGGGUCACCGGGAGCUACUGUUAGGUCACCAAAUGGUUCCACCUGAGGGAGGACCCUUGCUCUCUUCCUAACCUUUCCUUGGUCCCUUCCACACUUUUGUUGUCCUUUCCCCUGUGUUUCUGGAAACAGGGGCUGGUGGAAUGCUGGCUCGGGGACUCUGGCAUUCUGCUUCUCUUGGCAGCGCCCAGGGCUAUGCCAGUCAAGGCUGCAGCCUGGAGUUCUCUGUGUAGGGUUUGAGUUGAUG
rnacentral:lncRNA from 14 species